GGGCUCUUAGCUCAGUUGGUAGAGCAGCGGACUCUUAAUCCGUUGGUCGGCAGUUCGAGCCUGCCAGGGCCUACCA
rnacentral:tRNA from 2 species